AUUAUGGAAAUAAGGAAGAAUCUCAGAAAAGUGGAAAACUCAAUUGUCACCUUGACUACGGAUGAAGAAGAAACUGUGAAGUUCAGGCUGAAAAAUGGAUGGAGUGUCCAAGAUGGAUGCCUUUAGGACAGUAUCUUCUCAGAAGACACAGCACCAAGAGGAGAAACACCAAAUUAUCACCGGUCUCUGCAAAUGGAUUCAACAAUAAGCAGACACUUAUGUGGUCCUCCUUCUCUUUUUUUCCUUUUACAAAAUAGAACUUCAGAAAACUCUCUUUUAAAAGGGAAUGGAAGCAUGAGCAGAAGCCCAUGGCGUCCUGAGAAGGUUACCUGCUAAGGAG